UGAAAGUGUCUGCAUAAUGGUCUUGGCGUCUCCAUGUGUUUUACAAAAAUCAAUGAAACAUAGUCAAAAGUAGAUAUCUUUAAACAAAUUUGUAAAUAUAUACAUUUUUAUUUUGUAUUAAAAAAUUAACACUGAAAAAGAAUUCUUUAGCUGCAGUUGUUUAUAGGAGAGCACGAAAAAUUGUGUCGACAUGUGAUAGGUUGAUUUACGAAAAAUUGUGUCGACAUGUGAUAGGUUGAUUGUGUGACAGAAGUAUGCUAUGGUCACAUCAAAAGUAUGACAUUCCAGUUCGGCUAACACAAGGAUAUUAUAUCACUAUGCAAAGUGUCCCUUCAUGAGCCAAAAAAUGGUUGUGUGGCCAGGUCCCAGUGUGAUCAAAUCAAAGAUAUGUCUCUAAGUAAUCCAUUGUAUAUGAGCUUGCAAAGGUAUCUUGUUUCCACUGUGGACAGAUCUGGGUUCCUCAGAAUCUCUGUUUCGUAUGGAUGUUGUUAAAGGUAUGACUAGAAUGGAGGAAUAAUGCACAAAGGCUUACUAUCUAGUUUGAUGGAAGUAGAUUGAAUUUCUCUUCACUAUCUUCAUUUUUCUCCAUUGCCUGUUGAUGCUCUCUGGGGAUGUUAGGAAAUAGGGGCGGUGGGGUAGCGUUGUGGUUAAAGUGUUGGCUCGUCACGCCGAAGAUCCGGGUUCGAAUCCCCACAUGGGUACAAUGUGUGAAGCCCAUUUCUGGUGUCCCCGCCCGUGAUGUUACUGGAAUAUUGCUUUAAGCGGCGUGAAACUAAAACUCAGUCAGUCAGUGAGUGUUAGGAAAUAUUUUGCAUGAAGUAAAUGUGAUUUGAUCAAUUGGUAUAUAUAGUACUCAACAUUUUCUAAUGAUCCAAAUAGUCACUAUUUUGGUGCUUAUGAAAUGUGGAGUAUUUGUUGGAGAAAUGUUUGGAGUCAGUUGCUAUCAGUAGUUGAUUGCCAUAUCCAUAACAUUGCAAGGCAGAUGGGGUAAAGGGUGUUACGGGUAUGUUUAGGUGCUGAGUUAUGUCCCUUGGAUGUUGCAGUACCCGAUGAUAAUUAAAUUAAAUCUUAAAUUCAUCUUGUUAUCAGUUGUGGUUGACAGCACCAUUCCUGCACUCACAGAGUUUACAAAAUGUCUUGGUGGUCAGUGAUAUUAUUAGGCUAUAAUUCACUGUGUCCUCAGCCCUCAGAUGUACUAUUUACCUGUCAAAUUCAUCAACUCCACUUAUGUCCAUUUUAGUCUUCCCUAUUUAAGUGACCAUUCAUGUAGUCCGGUCAACAGGGUUGUGUAGCAGAGAUCAUUUCCAUUGCACUCAGACCUGUACAGUUAAGCAGCAUCAGAACAAACCCCAUACACCACCACCUGAGAGUUCAUCAUUGUAUAUAGCCCUCUGUAUCUUGGAUGUGUAGAUGUGUGUUCUUAGUGUGUACUUGGUGUGUAUUUCUAUGUGUAUUUAUUUUCCAGGCACUUGUUCAACUCUCCGUGAUAAUGGUGCAAUGAACAUUCUUUCUGAAACUUCUUUACAAUGAUCUCUGAUCUCGAGUUAAGGCGUUUGUACAUUCAGGGAUAGGAAGACCAAAUCAUUGAUUAUGUAUAUAUUUGAGAUUGAUGAAAGGAUUAUGAAUGAUAUCACUGUUAGUAUAAAUCAUGUUCAUCAAAGAGUUAGGGUAGUGUAAGUUGGCUGGAGUUAAAAUGUUAUGUGUAAAGGCUGUGUUUUAUGAAAUGUUUAGCUGUAGUUUGGCUGUCUUUUUACUGUGUAAUUUUAUCGGGUUAUGAAAAAUUAUAAAGAUAAUAUCUGUGUACCAAUUUCCAAAAGAGAUCCUUGGAAUCACUCUCCAUUUGUUACACCUUUGAAAAAUACUAAGCCUACUAUACAUGCAUCGUACAUUGCACAGCUGAUGCAGUCUAAGUCUUUUGAUGGAUCUAGUCUCCAGUGAUUAGUGAGGAUCUUCAGAACAAACUGACGAUGCAGUUUUGUGUGUGGUAAUUGCUACAGGUAGAUUCUCACUCAUUGAUGUGUAAUUCAAGACAGUUGUUAGACUCACAGAGUUGCGUUUUAUUCCAAAACGAUUUUCCCUUUUUAAUCCUUUUGAAGACAGCCAGCAGUAAUCAUUUGUCCAUUCCUGUUUAAUGUACAGUAGGUAUUUGUCUGUGAGCUCGAGGAACUGUGAGUGUUAAGGUUUACAGAUAGCGUGUGAGCAUUUGAAAAAUUUACUGCCUUUUCCCAGGGAUAAUACUGGAUGUUGGAGUUCUGGAGUUUCGAGGCGACUUCUUAUACUUAUAAAGAGUAUGCACUCUUUUACUCCUUUUGUCUAGCCCUGGUCCCUUUGCACAAAGUAAUCUUUGUGUUAGGAUGGUCAUAGUUCGGACUUACAACCAUUGUAGUGCUGAGAUUACUCUGUGGCAUGGGAACCGGGACAACAGCUGCUAUUUUUUCUCAACACUCCGAUAUUUCCAAUAUUUCUAAGCUUUAAUUCUAGUCUUGUCUUUAACGUGUUCAUCUUUUUAAUUACAGAUAGUAUCAGUUGUAAUAGAUGUAUCAUACCUCGUCAUUACGUGUUGUACAAGAAAAUGUGCAGGUGGGCUCUGUCACAGACAGUGUUCACAGAAUCAAUGGUUUCUUAAUGAUGCUCACUUGAAGUUCAAAACAUUUGAUAUAAACAUUGAGGAUUAUGUUGCAAAGCAAUCCUGGAAAACCUUUUGCCAUAAGUCUACUCCACCUGAGAUUUAUCUAGACUGUUCUUCCAGGAUUGGUUUAGACGAAGCCUCUGUUAGUAGAACGGUUUUAUAUAUAUUAUGUCUUGUAAUUUGCAAGCAUUCUUAUUGUGAUAUGCCUGUUAUCGAUUUAUAAUAAAGCUUGUGCUAAGGGGAGGAAUAUACAUUUAUUUCUUUGUAAUUUACCAUGACAUACCUGUUAAUUUGGUUCAGUUUACAAUGAGUUCCUGUAUCUUUAACUGUACAGCUUCAUCUUAUUGAUGUACGACUUUGUUGCUUGACAAGGCUGUUCUAGAAGCAGAUUUGCUGUCCAUUCUCAACAUGCUAGGAUUUGUACUUCUUUCAUUCCAAAUUAAUUUCACGUUUAGUUGAAAUGAUUUUGAACUCAAGUGCGAAUAAGACCACCUUUUUGUAUGUCUUUUAUAAGCAGUUUUUACCAGUAAAGAUAUUUUGUUUAUAUUUUAUCAUGAAAUAAAGUCUUCUCGAAACAAGAA